rnacentral:sRNA from 2 species
AAAUUAAACCAGCCUAAUUUUUUAUACCGCAAAGGUAUAGAAAUACGGGGGAACCACUUUGGGUGAAUUGAUUUCGAUGCUUGGACGGCUUGAUUCAAGUGUCUUGGAAAUCAUAGGGAACCUUCACAACCGAACCCCACAGCUAACCUCGUCGGCACCGGAAGGAGUUUCA